rnacentral:rRNA from 1 species
AUUGAACGCUGGCGGCAGGCCUAACACAUGCAAGUCGGGCGAGCGGAGGACGGGUGAGUAAUGUAUGGGGAUCUGCCUGAUGGCGGGGGAUAAAUAAUGGAAACGGUAGCUAAUACCGCAUACCAUCAGAUGAACCCAUAUGGGAUUAGCUUGGAGGUGAGGUAAGGGCUUACCUAGGCGACGAUCCCUAGCUGGUCUGCGAGUAUGAUCAGCCACGCUGGGACUGAGACACGGCCCCGACUCCUACGGGAGGCAGCAGUGGGGAAUAUUGCACAAUGUGCGCAAGCCUGAUGCAGCGACGCCGCGUGGGGGAUGAAGGCUUUCGGGUUGUAAACCUCUUUCGCUAUCGAACGGGUAGGUGGAGAAGAAGCGCCGGCUAACUACGUGCCAGCAGCCGCGGUAAUUC